rnacentral:rRNA from 1 species
GACGAACGCUGGCGGCGUGCCUAAUACAUGCAAGUCGAGCGAACACGGGGUGCUUGCACCCUGAGGGUUAGCGGCGGACGGGUGAGUAACACGUGGGGAACCUGCCUUGCUGUCUGGGAUAACACCGGGAAACCGGUGCUAAUACCGGAUGUCCACGUUCCGGCACCUGCCGGAGAGGGAAAAGGCGGCUUUGAGCCGCCGCAGCAAGAGGGGCCCGCGGCGCGUUAGUUAGUUGGCAGGGUAACGGCCUCCCAAGGCGACGAUGCGUAGCCGACCUGAGAGGGUGAUCGGCCACACUGGGACUGAGACACGGCCCAGACUCCUACGGGAGGCAGCAGUAGGGAAUCAUCCGCAAUGGACGAAAGUCUGACGGUGCAACGCCGCGUGAGUGAUGAAGGUUUUCGGAUCGUAAAGCUCUGUUGUGAGGGAAGAAUAGGAUGGGGAGGAAAUGCCCGAUCUGUGACGGUACCUCACCAGAAAGCCCCGGCUAACUACGUGCCAGCAGCCGCCGUAA